AUGACCUUGACGCUCCAGGAUAUAGCUAUGAUCACCGGUCUUCCUAUCGAUGGGAAACCUCUAUGUAUGAGCACCGAUUCUGAUGGGUGGCGCGAGCAAAUGUUUGCCCUUAUCGGUAUGGUUCCUCCGGAGCCGCGGGAACCAGAAGUAGAAGGCAAGAAGAAGGAAAGAGUCGCAGACUAUGUUUGCUGA
rnacentral:rRNA from 1 species